CCUACGGGUGGCUGCAGUGGGGAAUUUUGGACAAUGGGGGCAACCCUGAUCCAGCCAUGCCGCGUGAGUGAAGAAGGCCUUCGGGUUGUAAAGCUCUUUCGGCCGGGAGGAAAUCGCAUAGGUUAAUACCCUGUGUGGAUGACAGUACCGGAAUAAGAAGCACCGGCUAACUACGUGCCAGCAGCCGCGGUAAUACGUAGGGUGCGAGCGUUAAUCGGAAUUGCGGGGCGGAAAUUGUGCGACAGGGGUGAAAUCCCCGGGCGCAACCUGGGAACUGCGCUUGUGACUGGAAGGCUAGAGUAUGGCAGAGGGGGGUGGAAUUCCACGUGUAGCAGUGAAAUGCGUAGAGAUGUGGAGGAACACCGAUGGCGAAGGCAGCCCCCUGGGCCAAUACUGACGCUCAUGCACGAAAGCGUGGGGAGCAAACAGGAUUAGAUACCCCGGUAGUC
rnacentral:rRNA from 1 species